rnacentral:rRNA from 1 species
UACGAAGGGGGCUAGCGUUGUUCGGACUUACUGGGCGUAAAGCGCACGUAGGCGGGUCGUUAAGUCAGGGGUGAAAUCCCGGAGCUCAACUCCGGAACUGCCUUUGAUACUGGCGACCUUGAGGCUGGAAGAGGUUAGUGGAAUUCCCAGUGUAGAGGUGAAAUUCGUAGAUAUUGGGAAGAACACCAGUGGCGAAGGCGGCUAACUGGUCCAGAUCUGACGCUGAGGUGCGAAAGCGUGGGGAGCAAACAGG